rnacentral:rRNA from 1 species
AACGAACGCUGGCGGCAUGCCUAACACAUGCAAGUCGAACGAGACCUUCGGGUCUAGUGGCGCACGGGUGCGUAACGCGUGGGAACCUGCCCUUAGGUUCGGAAUAACUCCCCGAAAGGGGUGCUAAUACCGGAUAAUGGCUUCGGACCCAAGAUUUAUCGCCUUUGGAUGGGCCCGCGUUGGGUUAGCUAGUUGGUAGGGUAAAAGCCUACCAAGGCGACGAUCCAUAGCUGGUCUGAGAGGAGGAUCAGCCACACUGGGACUGAGACACGGCCCAGACUCCUACGGGAGGCAGCAGUGGGGAAUAUUGGACAAUGGGCGAGAGCCUGAUCCAGCAAUGCCGCGUGAGUGAUGAAGGCCUUAGGGUUGUAAAGCUCUUUUACCCGGGAUGAUAAUGACAGUACCGGGAGAAUAAGCUCCGGCUAACUCCGUG